GACGAACGCUGGCGGCGUGCUUAACACAUGCAAGUCGAACGGAAAGGCCCUGCUUUUGUGGGGUGCUCGAGUGGCGAACGGGUGAGUAACACGUGAGUAACCUGCCCUUGACUUUGGGAUAACUUCAGGAAACUGGGGCUAAUACCGGAUAGGAGCUCCUGCUGCAUGGUGGGGGUUGGAAAAUUUCGGCGGUUGGGGAUUGACUCGCGGCUUAGCAGCUUGUUGGUGGGGUAGUGGCUUACCAAGGCUUUGACGGGUAGCCGGCCUGAGAGGGUGACCGGCCACAUUGGGACUGAGAGACGGCCGAGGUUCCGACGGGAGGCAGCAGUGGGAAAUAUUGCACAAUGGGCGGAAGCUUGAUGCAGCAACGCCUCGUGUGGGAUGACGGCCUUCGGGUUGUAAACCGCUUGCGCCUGUGACGAAGCGUGUGUGACGGUAAUGUGUAAAGAAGCACCGGCUAACUACGUU
rnacentral:rRNA from 1 species